rnacentral:rRNA from 1 species
CCUACGGGUGGCAGCAGUGGGGAAUUUUGGACAAUGGGCGAAAGCCUGAUCCAGCUAUGCCGCGUGAGUGAAGAAGGCCUUCGGGUUGUAAAGCUCUUUCGGUUGGGAAGAAGUUUAUCUGUUUAAGAGAUGGAUAGAUUGACGGUACCGACAGAAGAAGCACCGGCUAACUACGUGCCAGCAGCCGCGGUAAUACGUAGGGUGCGAGCGUUAAUCGGAAUUACUGGGCGUAAAGGGUGCGCAGGCGGCUACAUAAGUCAGAUGUGAAAUCCCCGGGCUUAACCUGGGAACUGCGUUUGAAACUAUGUGGCUAGAGUACAGCAGAGGGGGGUGGAACUCCAUGUGUAGCAGUGAAAUGCGUAGAUAUAUGGAAGAACAUCGAUGGCGAAGGCAGCCCCCUGGGUUGAUACUGACGCUCAUGCACGAAAGCGUGGGGAGCAAACAGGAUUAGAUACCCCAGUAGUC